AUUGAACGCUGGCGGAAUGCUUUACACAUGCAAGUCGAACGGCAGCACGGGAGCUUGCUCCUGGUGGCGAGUGGCGAACGGGUGAGUAAUGCGUCGGAACGUACCGAGUAAUGGGGGAUAACGCAGCGAAAGCUGUGCUAAUACCGCAUACGCCCUGAGGGGGAAAGUGGGGGAUUCGUAAGGACCUCACGUUUAUUCGAGCGGCCGACGUCUGAUUAGCUAGUUGGUGGGGUAAAGGCCUACCAAGGCGACGAUCAGUAGCGGGUCUGAGAGGAUGAUCCGUCACACUGGAACUGAGACACGGUCCAGACUCCUACGGGAGGCUG
rnacentral:rRNA from 1 species